rnacentral:lncRNA from 1 species
UGGGCUUGGCGAAAGUACGGCCAAAAACCCAUCAAAGGCUCUCCUUACCCCAGGUAUGUAACUCAACUAGCCGUAAACUUAACCCAUGUUUUGUCUGCAUCGAGGAGUAACUUUCAAAGUUUGAUAAAGAUUUCUGUUUUUAUCUUACGGCGGACAGAGGUUAUUACCGGUGUAGUAGCUCAAAGGGAUGUCCAGCAAGGAAACAAGUUGAGAGGAGCCGCGUGGACCCUAAAAUGUUAGUGAUCACCUAUUCCUACGAACACAAUCACCCUUGGCCCGCUUCUAG